GAUGAAGAACGCAGCGAAAUGCGAUAAGUAGUGUGAAUUGCAGAAUUCAGUGAAUCAUCGAAUCUUUGAACGCACAUUGCGCCCCAUGGUAUUCCGUGGGGCAUGCCUGUUCGAGCGUCAUUUACCCCCUCAAGCUCCGCUUGGUGUUGGGCGUCUGUCCCGCUUCGCGCGCGGACUCGCCCCAAAGGUAUUGGCAGCGGUCGUGCCAGCUUCUCGCGCAGCACAUUGCGCUUCUCGAGGCACCGGUGGGCCCGCGUCCAUCAAACUCACCCCCCCAGUUUGACCUCGGAUCAGGUAGGGAUACCCGCUGAACUUAAGCAUAUCAAUAAGCGGAGGA
rnacentral:misc_RNA from 1 species